rnacentral:rRNA from 1 species
CACGUAGGGGGCAAGCGUUGUCCGGAUUUAUUGGGCGUAAAGAGCUCGUAGGCGGCUUAGUAAGUCGGGUGUGAAACCUCCAGGCUCAACCUGGAGACGCCACCCGAUACUGCUGUGGCUAGAGGCCAGUAGGGGGAUGCGGAAUUCCGGGUGUAGUGGUGGAAUGCGUAGAGAUCCGGAGGAACACCAGCGGCGAAGGCGGCAUCCUGGACUGGUCCUGACACUCAGGAGCGAAAGCGUGGGGAGCGAUCCGG